UUCGUAGGCGGUGUGGCAAGUCGGGAGUGAAAUCUAUGGGCUUAACCCAUAGACUGCUUCCGAAACUGCUGUGCUGGAGUGUGGGAGAGGCGCGUGGAAUUGCAGGUGUAGCGGUGAAAUGCGUAGAUAUCUGCAGGAACACCCGUGGCGAAAGCGGCGCGCUGGACCACUACUGACGCUGAGGAACGAAAGCUAGGGGAGCAAACAGGAUUAGAUACCCUGGUAGUCCUAGCCCUAAACGAUCAGGACUUGGGGUGCCACCCGUUCGGGUGUCGUCCCGGAGCUAACGCGUUAAGUCCUGCACCUGGGGAGUACGGUCGCAAGACUGAA
rnacentral:rRNA from 1 species